rnacentral:rRNA from 1 species
GCUAAGUAAGGGCGUAUGGGGAAUGCCUAGGCUCUCAGAGGCGAUGAAGGACGUGAUAAGCUGCGAAAAGCUGCGGGGACAGGCACAUACUGAUUGAUCCGCAGAUAUCCGAAUGGGGCAACCCGGCAUAUUGAAGAUAUGUCACCAGAGAUGGAGCAAACCCGGAGAACUGAAACAUCUAAGUACCCGGAGGAGAAGAAAACAAAAGUGAUUCCGCUAGUAGUGGCGAGCGAACGCGGAAUAGCCCAAACCAAUGUUGUUACGGCAAUAUUGGGGUUGUAGGACCACGAUAUUUUAUGUUAAUUGAAUUAGAACUGUUUGGAAAGACAGACCAUAGAGGGUGAUAGUCCCGUAUAGGUAAGAUUAAUAAUAGAUAGUGGUAUCCUGAGUAGCGCGGGGCACGUGUAACCCUGUGUGAAUUUGGCGGGACCAUCCGUUAAGGCUAAAUACUCCUGAGAGACCGAUAGUGAACUAGUACCGUGAGGGAAAGGUGAAAAGAACCCUGAAUAAGGGAGUGAAAUAGACCCUGAAACCAUACGCUUACAAGCGGUCGGAGCUGAUUUAUCAGUGACGGCGUGCCUUUUGCAUAAUGAGCCUACGAGUUACCGUUGCUAGCGAG